ensembl:miRNA
GGCAGUGCUCUACUCAAAAAGCUGUCAGUCACUUAGGUUACAUGUGACUGACACCUCUUUGGGUGAAGGAAGGCUCA